AACGGUCUAUACCUGCGGUACCUGCGGAGGGAUCAUUACCAAGUUGAGGGGGCUACGAUCUUGGAGGCUGGUGUACACACAACCGCGAGCGUUGGGCAAUUGCCAGCCGUGGGCCUCCCAAGACUAGUCCCCGAACCUCCCACCCUUGUCCACUUGUACCCUUCGUUGCCUCGGCGGGCCCGCCCGCCGGAGGACCAACCAAAUAACUCUUGUUGUCAAACGGCGUGAGUCUGAGCGAUA
rnacentral:misc_RNA from 1 species